rnacentral:tRNA from 1 species
UGAUUGGUAGUAAGGGGAUUUGAACCCCCGUAUAUGAGGCUACAACUCACCGCCUGUCACUCGGCCACUCUACC